CCACCGGAGCUUGCUCCACCGGAAAAAGAGGAGUGGCGAACGGGUGAGUAACACGUGGGUAACCUGCCCAUCAGAAGGGGAUAACACUUGGAAACAGGUGCUAAUACCGUAUAACAAUCAAAACCGCAUGGUUUUGAUUUGAAAGGCGCUUUCGGGUGUCGCUGAUGGAUGGACCCGCGGUGCAUUAGCUAGUUGGUGAGGUAACGGCUCACCAAGGCCACGAUGCAUAGCCGACCUGAGAGGGUGAUCGGCCACAUUGGGACUGAGACACGGCCCAAACUCCUACGGGAGGCAGCAGUAGGGAAUCUUCGGCAAUGGACGAAAGUCUGACCGAGCAACGCCGCGUGAGUGAAGAAGGUUUUCGGAUCGUAAAACUCUGUUGUUAGAGAAGAACAAGGAUGAGAGUAACUGUUCAUCCCUUGACGGUAUCUAACCAGAAAGCCACGGCUAACUACGUGCCAGCAGCCGCGGUAAUACGUAGGUGGCAAGCGUUGUCCGGAUUUAUUGGGCGUAAAGCGAGCGCAGGCGGUUUCUUAAGUCUGAUGUGAAAGCCCCCGGCUCAACCGGGGAGGGUCAUUGGAAACUGGGAGACUUGAGUGCAGAAGAGGAGAGUGGAAUUCCAUGUGUAGCGGUGAAAUGCGUAGAUAUAUGGAGGAACACCAGUGGCGAAGGCGGCUCUCUGGUCUGUAACUGACGCUGAGGCUCGAAAGCGUGGGGAGCAAACAGGAUUAGAUACCCUGGUAGUCCACGCCGUAAACGAUGAGUGCUAAGUGUUGGAGGGUUUCCGCCCUUCAGUGCUGCAGCUA
rnacentral:rRNA from 1 species